ACCAUUAUAAUUUUAUGAGACGAGGAAGCGACCUUUCCGGCUGAUGUUUUUUUUAAACUGUUCCUUAUAAAAUACUGUUGCGGGAGACAGUUACACAUUUUGCAAUUUCGCUUUUGAAACUUGCUAAAAAUACGUUCAAAGACAAGAAAUUUUUUUUUUUUUUUCAAUUUUUUCCAAAAAACGCUUGACGAGACGAUAGAUUUACUUCUCCUGAUUACGAAAUGCAUAAUUAUUAUAUGUUUUUUUCAUUAUUGCGCCUGAAAAGCGGGAAAAACUAUCUAGUAGUUCACCUACUUUCCGUUGGUGGCGCCAGUUUGUCUCCUGCGCACCCUUAAUAGGAUUGUUCUAGUUAUUUGGGUAUAGUUAUAUUUUAUAGGUUAGGGUAUGGAUGGUAUCGCGGUUUCCUUGCUUGAUCGUUACACGUUUCAUGUUUUAUGUGUUUCGAUUGUUUUUUCGUCUGUCACCGUGAGAUGUCGUUUUCGAUACAUUUCUUCGUUCGUUCUAUAGGGUUUGACGUUCUAGGUUGGAUUAAAUCGAGUAGGAUUGAGAUUAUUUACCUGUUCGGUUUGUCGUGUCGAAAGGAGGAAGAUUUUGGUGCGUAGGAGUGCAUGGGUUCUUCAUGCCACUAUAACUAGUGUGCAUUUCUUCAUGAGAGGAUUCUCUGAAGGCUUGCUGUAGCGAGAGCAGAUAGAAUUUUUAUUUGCAUUGGGUACAGGGAGCUAAUUAGUUUCCUACGAUCUGGCGCGCAGAGCAUAUUGAAAAGAUACUACGAAGU